rnacentral:rRNA from 1 species
GGCGGACGGGUGAGUAACGCGUGGGUAACCUGCCUCAUACAGGGGGAUAACAGUUGGAAACGGCUGCUAAUACCGCAUAAGCGCACAGUACCGCAUGGUACAGUGUGAAAAACUCCGGUGGUAUGAGAUGGACCCGCGUCUGAUUAGCUAGUUGGAGGGGUAACGGCCCACCAAGGCGACGAUCAGUAGCCGGCCUGAGAGGGUGAACGGCCACAUUGGGACUGAGACACGGCCCAGACUCC